UGGGUCCAACGGAGGCUCCCCGCUGAGGCUUUUUUUUUAUUGAAAAGUUGGUGGCGCCACCGUCUCUUACUCCCGAUUGAGCGGCCCCGCGCGCCGGCCGGAUGCUUGUCGCAUCGGAGACCCUACCGCAGCUGCAUGGAGCUUUGACAGGCGGAUACUCGGUGGCGGUAACACUGAUAUUAUUCCCAACCGAUCUAUUGUAAAUAAAAUGGAAAAAGAGCGGCGGAAAGAAAGCAAACGACGCAACAACGACGGUGCGUCGAGCAGACGACAGCUACUUAGCCCGUGAGCUCGCCUCAGCCAAUGAGCGCUGCUGUAACAGCCGAAGCAAACAGUUUAUUGGCCGGAGAUUCAGAAUAAGGCGAUGGCAGCGCUGCCACGAUUUCAAUGUUUUUUUGCUUCACCCUCGGCGCUUGCCAAGGCGUCCGCUGAACCACUCUAGCGUCCGUAAACAUUAGGAACGUUAACUCGCCAAAUAACGUACUAUCGACCAAAAAUCUUUACGACCAAAGGAUCUGACAAAAAAGUUACAGGCCUGCGCGGCACACGCAGCACAGUCACAGUGUAAGCUGGUGGAGCAGCUCAAGAGUAGCUCCAAUUUCGGCACCACGCACACCAGGGUCUUCGCUACAAAGUCUCUUCGCCUCGUUUUGACGAGAACGAUCUGAACUGUCCGCCUGGUGUCAACGGCGAGCUGCGGCUUGUAAUGCUCUCUGCACAGCAGUCUGCUGAGCCUGAUGAUGCCUGGUUGUAGCCGCGUACGUAGCUCUACGAUUCGCUUCUUCAGCAGCGGUUCGUACCUUGCGAGGAGACGCCAUAACGUGUACCGAAGAGGUACCGAUAAUACGUGGCGCACUUCUCACAUCAGAAUCGCGUUGAUUGCGCACCUCGUCUGAAUCGCAUCUCGUCGUCUGCGCCAGCGCACGCUGCGUUUGCAGGCACCUUAAUUAGAUGGCGCCACCGUACUGGUGGAGGCUCGGGUCGUCUGCGCCGGCGCGCCUGCCUAGGGAGCGUUUAUAGGACAUUUUCCCGCUGCCCGAUAGCAAGCGCUUGCGUGGCUCAGUGGUAGAGUAUCUGGCUCCCACGCAGCGAGCGCGGGUCCGACAUCGGCGGGAACCUGGUACAUUUUUCGCAUUUCCAGCGAUAGCGGUUACGGUCCCCAACGGUGGAGGCGGACACCAUCGCGAACCGAAACGGCUAUUGGAAUGAGCCCGUAACAGCUUACGCUGUAAAAGCUAAAUAUCUCCGCUGCCUCAAAACGCAGCCUGUUAUUCCCAUUUCCAGCCUCUACUGGUAUAUGCGAACAACACUGUGAUGUACGGUUUUACUGGCUACUUUAAAGGCUGCUGGGAUAUUUAUCGUUUUCUCAGAUCCCAUGGUCCGUAAACGUUUUUGGUCGAUGAUACGUUAUCAUAGCGCACGUAAAUGACAGAAAUCCAAUAACGUUCAGAGCAUGUGCUUUACGCAUGUAAUGCGUUUACGUUUGCUUGCAAACGCUAAAGCCAUCUAUUAAAGCCGAUGCUUGACGAUCUAAAUGACGCUUGGCAUGCACUGAACUUGCCCGAGACACUCUGUUUCCUUUGGCUCGUUCACGACAGGCGUCAUAUAACUCAAGUCAAGCAUGGGCUUCAAGUUAAAAUGUAUUUCUGAAUGCAGGGGUAAGCGCUGAGGUUGUCUAUGAACGCAGCUGCUUGAGACAACGUAAAGAUGAAUAUUUCUGACCAGGCUGGCUGGCUCCGAGAAGUCAAAAAGCUUAUCUCCAUGUGAGCGGCAUGCAUUUGAAAGCUUGCUCAUACAAGGGCUUGAUGUUGCCCUCCGUAGGCGUAGCACACAAAAGAGAGGUCUUGCGGGCUUGUUUUUGUUCACAAGCGUGACGUUCGCGAUUACGAUACCACGCGGCCUCUCGAUCAAAACACACAAGGUGCGUCAUGAUGAAGCCGCAGUGACAAUACUCUGGCACUCACGUGUUUUCAGGCGUGACAUUCGGAGAUCUCGCACGGCCGCUCGAUGAUAACGUGAUAAAGCGGCCGUGACGAUAGCUUACAAACAGAAGCGGUGACGCUCAUGCGCUUGCUUAUACAGAUCAGCAGUAAGUCACGUAGUACUUCUAAACAGCACGUUUAAUAUAGCAGUGUCGACAAGGACUCCGGAAUCGGAAAAGGGGUGGGGGUUUCGAGCCCCCCCCCCCCCUUUGGCGUUCUCCUUUACGGGGCUCAGCCCCUCACUCCCUCUAUCUUUCAUCCCCGCUCCCCCUUGCCUGUCAUGGCCCCGUCUACUGCUUGUUGCCGGCAUGUCGAAUAAACAAAAGGUUGGUCAUCAAUUCAUUCCUCCCCGUCUGCCUCGUGUUAUCUGCCCCUUCUGUCUGAUGAUGCCGGCGGGUCAAAUGGACAAAAAGCAGUGUUUGAUCUACCCUUAGACGCGUUGGUAUCAAAAUUUGGCAAGGACUCCACAUGUGGAGCUGCCCAACAUGAAGCCCAAGUUUUCAGUGAGCAGCACCCUGUCGGUUCCUUAAACUUUUCUUCAAACAACUUCCAAACCUGGUAGCGAAGCUUUCAUAGAAGCCCAUACAUUCAAAGCAUGGCGGUUCAUCGGUGGUUCAUAUAGGGUGCCUCGACGCCAGCGCCGCUUUCCAAAAGCAGCUCUGGGCAUCGAGGCAUCCUACGCAUCCGUGGCGCCGGCCGUGCGGGUGAAAGAUAAAAUAACCAGAAAGCUUGCCUUACGCGCAGCAAGCGUUUCCCGGUAAAGGGUAUACGGUUGCAUAAGCUGCAGUUGCCGGGAAGCGGCAACUGUGUGGCCGGUCUAUAUAUAGCACCGCACGUCGUGGCGCUGCCGAUCAGUGCGGUGAUUUCGGCGAGUUCUGUCGCACGCUCCUCCAAUGGACGAACCUUCGACUUCUCAGUCAGCUGCUGCUCCUUUGGGCGUCCACGCAUGUACGCGAAUGAGGCCGAGGCGUCAUAGGAGAGACGUCGCAAUGUUUUCGCAUUCAUCCACGUAGGGAUACCUAAAUGCCCUUGAAUUGUUUCUUUUUAUUGUUUUAUUUGCUUCCUCAUUUUGCGUUGUUAACGUGUCCUGAGUCUCCGUCCAAGUAAUGCAGCCAUAUUACGCACGGUAAGGCUUGUUGAAUAGAACUACGUUUUAAAUAGCGACAAAUGGGAGCAACUUAAAUCUCGUGACUUUCGCAGGAGCCCUGUCCGAACUUGCGACCGCCAUUCAUAUCGCGGACUGACAACGACUACAACCUGAUUGAGCCAUCGUCCACAUACGCAGAAACGCCUGCGACGUUGGGGACAGUUGACCUAAACCGAACGAAGAGUGGACAUGAGCAAGGCAGGCUGCAUGCACUUGCUUGGUGGCGGAGCAAACCGAGCGAGGUUGAGUCAGUUCCAUCCGGCCUUCAUUCGCUUCCUUCCUAAAGCUACACAUUUCCAAGAAACACGAGAAACAGGUCAUGCCAGCAGGAUUGGUUUGAAAAAUUCGCGUGGCUAUCCUACGACAGCAAAAGCGAUGUAGUGCUUUGUCACGAGUGCGUUUUAUUUUCAAGACAAAUGAUUGCAGGCCUGGAGCAGCAUAACCAGCUUUUGUGCAGGCAUGGUUUUAAUAACCGGAAAGAAA